rnacentral:tRNA from 1 species
AAGAGUAUAGCAUAAAUUAAUGCAUUUCAUUUACAUUGAAAUUAUAUUUAAGUUGAUUAAGUUAUUCUUA